GACGAACGCUGGCGGCGUGCCUAAUACAUGCAAGUCGAACGCAGUGGGGACGGGUGAGUAACACGUGGGUAACCUCCCAUCAGAGGGGAUAACACUUGGAAACAGGUGCUAAACCGAUACUGAUGGAUGGACCCGCGGUGCAUUAGCUAGUUGGGGAGGGAACGGCUCACCAAGGCGACGAUGCAUAGCUGACCUGAGAGGGUGAUCAGCCACACUGGGACUGAGACACGGCCCAGACUCCUACGGGAGGCAGCAGUAGGGAAUAUUGGGCAAUGGGCGAAAGUCUGACCGAGCAACGCCGCGUGAGUGAAGAAGGUUUUCGGAUCGUAAAACUCUUUUGGUAGGGAAGCGUUAUCUACCGAGAAAGCCACGGCUAACUACGUGCCAGCCGCCGCGGUAAUAC
rnacentral:rRNA from 1 species